CAUAGGAACCCACGCAGUAGCAUCGUUUCAAAAUGUUUCCAUCACCAUCAUCAGUGGAUGCCUUUGCCGUCCGUACCCUGAGAUUUCAGAUUUGCUGCAAAAAAUGUGACUUUCCCAUUUAUUGGAAUGCUGUGCAGCCAUCCAUUACAAUGUCACCAAGCCGUAACAAAAGCAGGAGAGGGAAAGUACAAGGCUAUGUUCCCAAAACACAAAAGUGACAUACUUUAUGUGGAUGAUGUGAUCAGGCUUGUGUUUGCUGAGGUAUUUGAAGAUAAGCUGAAGGAAACCCCGAUUCCAAUGGACCUGGCAUCACAGUUUGAGAGACCUUCAAAGGAGGACGUGAUUGCAUGCCAUCUUCAGUGCAGGGGUCGUCGGAAGCCAACAUUCCGAUCGGGAAGCUCCAAGCGUAUCUGGAGAACAACACACGACAGGAUGAUAACCCUAAAGUGUCAUCUUAGAUAGCAUCAGCUGACAAAGCUUUGAUAUGCCAUUUAUCUGAAUAGAUAGCUGUAAGAAAUGAAUUGAACAAUUUUUGAAAGAAGAGCACAAUAUGGUUACUAAAGUAUGUUUAUUUGUAUAUUGUUUAACAUUUAAAUAUAUAUUUGUAAUAAAUAAAAAACUUUUGACUGA